AGAGUUUGAUCAUGGCUCAGAUUGAACGCUGGCGGCAGGCCUAACACAUGCAAGUCGAGCGCGAAAGGCUUUCGGGCUGAGUAGAGCGGCGGACGGGUGAGUAACGCGUAGGAAUCUACCUGGUAGUGGGGGACAACUUGGGGAAACUCAAGCUAAUACCGCAUACGCCCUAUGGGGGAAAGCGGGGGACCUUCGGGUCUCGCGCUAUCAGAUGAGCCUGCGUAGGAUUAGCUUGUUGGUGAGGUAAAGGCUCACCAAGGCGACGAUCCUUAGCUGGUCUGAGAGGAUGAUCAGCCACACUGGGACUGAGACACGGCCCAGACUCCUACGGGAGGCAGCAGUGGGGAAUAUUGCGCAAUGGGGGCAACCCUGACGCAGCCAUGCCGCGUGUGUGAAGAAGGCCUUCGGGUUGUAAAGCACUUUAAGUGGGGAGAAAAGGGUAGCGGUUAAUAGCCGUUACCUGUGAUGUUACCCACAGAAUAAGCACCGGCUAACUCCGUGCCAGCAGCCGGUAAUACGGAGGGUGCGAGCGUUAAUCGGAAUUACUGGGCGUAAAGCGCGCGUAGGCGGUUUGUUAAGUCAGCUGUGAAAGCCCCGGGCUCAACCUGGGAACUGCAGUUGAUACUGGCCGACUAGAGUACGAGAGAGGGAGGUAGAAUUCCAUGUGUAGCGGUGAAAUGCGUAGAUAUAUGGAGGAAUACCGGUGGCGAAGGCGGCCUCCUGGCUCGAUACUGACGCUGAGGUGCGAAAGCGUGGGGAUCAAACAGGAUUAGAUACCCUGGUAGUCCACGCCGUAAACGAUGUCUACUAGCCGUUGGGAGACUUGAUUUCUUAGUGGCGCAGCUAACGCAAUAAGUAGACCGCCUGGGGAGUACGGCCGCAAGGUUAAAACUCAAAUGAAUUGACGGGGGCCCGCACAAGCGGUGGAGCAUGUGGUUUAAUUCGAUGCAACGCGAAGAACCUUACCAGGUCUUGACAUCCAGAGAACUUGGCAGAGAUGCCUUGGUGCCUUCGGGAGCUCUGAGACAGGUGCUGCAUGGCUGUCGUCAGCUCGUGUCGUGAGAUGUUGGGUUAAGUCCCGUAACGAGCGCAACCCUUGUCCUUAGUUGCCAGCACGUAAUGGUGGGAACUCUAAGGAGACUGCCGGUGACAAACCGGAGGAAGGUGGGGACGACGUCAAGUCAUCAUGGCCCUUACGACCUGGGCUACACACGUGCUACAAUGGAACGCACAGAGGGCAGCAAAGGCGCGAGCUGGAGCCAAUCCCACAAAACGUUUCGUAGUCCGGAUCGGAGUCUGCAACUCGACUCCGUGAAGUCGGAAUCGCUAGUAAUCGUGGAUCAGAAUGCCACGGUGAAUACGUUCCCGGGCCUUGUACACACCGCCCGUCACACCAUGGGAGUGGGUUGCUCCAGAAGUGGUUAGCCUAACCUUCGGGGGGGCGAUCACCACGGAGUGGUUCAUGACUGGGGUGAAGUCGGAACAAGGUA
rnacentral:rRNA from 1 species